UAUUAUAUGAUAAACUUUGUUCAGUUUUGCAAUCAAAAAAUCAAGAAAAUUCCUUAGCAUCACUGGGUGAAGUUUGUCUUAUAAU
rnacentral:pre_miRNA from 13 species